rnacentral:rRNA from 1 species
UUAAACUUGAGAGUUUGAUCAUGGCUCAGAACGUACGCUGGCGGCACGCCUAACACAUGCAAGUCGAACGCAGUAGCAAUACUGAGUGGCGAACGGGUGAGUAUAAUGUGGGUAUCUGCCUU